UACGGAGGGGGCUAGCGUUGUUCGGAAUUACUGGGCGUAAAGCGCGCGUAGGCGGAUCUGCAAGUCGGGGGUGAAAUCCCGAGGCUCAACCUCGGAACUGCCUUCGAUACUGCGGGUCUCGAGUCCGGGAGAGGUGAGUGGAACUGCGAGUGUAGAGGUGAAAUUCGUAGAUAUUCGCAAGAACACCAGUGGCGAAGGCGGCUCACUGGCCCGGUACUGACGCUGAGGUGCGAAAGCGUGGGGAGCAAACAGGG
rnacentral:rRNA from 1 species